rnacentral:rRNA from 1 species
CAGUCGCCACGGUAAUACGGAGGGAGCUAGCGUUGUUCGGAAUUACUGGGCGUAAAGCGCACGUAGGCGGUUAUUCAAGUCAGAGGUGAAAGCCCGGGGCUCAACCCCGGAACUGCCUUUGAAACUAGAUGACUAGAAUCUUGGAGAGGUCAGUGGAAUUCCGAGUGUAGAGGUGAAAUUCGUAGAUAUUCGGAAGAACACCAGUGGCGAAGGCGACUGACUGGACAAGUAUUGACGCUGAGGUGCGAAAGCGUGGGGAGCAAACAGGAUUAGAUACCCCGGUAGUCCCUGUCUCUUAUAA